rnacentral:rRNA from 1 species
UACGGAGGAUCCAAGCGUUAUCCGGAUUUAUUGGGUUUAAAGGGUGCGUAGGCGGCUUAUUAAGUCAGGGGUGAAAGAUGGUGGCUCAACCAUCGCAGUGCCCUUGAUACUGAUGAGCUUGAAUACACUUGAGGUAGGCGGAAUGUGACAAGUAGCGGUGAAAUGCAUAGAUAUGUCACAGAACACCAAUUGCGAAGGCAGCUUACUAAGGUGCAAUUGACGCUGAGGCACGAAAGCGUGGGGAUCAAACAGG